UUCACACAAUGUGGGGGUCUAGGAAGCUGAAAUAUAUAGGGCAAGUGAGCAGGCUGGAAACUAAAAGCUUCUGCACAGCCAACAGUCAACAAAAUGAAAAGGCAGGCUAUGGUUUGGGAGAAGCUAUUUGCGAACCAUGUAUCUAAUAAUGAGUUAAUAUCCAAAAUAUAUAAAGAACUCACACAGCUCAAUAGCAAAUAAAUAAAUAGUCUGGUUAACAAAUAGGCAAAGGACUUGAAUAGGCAUUUGUAGAAGGAAAACACACAACUGGCCAACAGGUAUAUGAAAAUGUGCUCAACAUCAUUAAUAAUCAGAGAAUGCAAAUGAAAACCACAAUGAACUAUCACCUCACUGUUACACGCUGUUGACAGACAUGUAAUUGGUACAGCCGUUAUAAAAAACAGUGUAAUGGUUCCUUGGAAAAUCAAAAUAGAUCUACCAUGUGACCCAGCAGUUCAUCUGUUAAGUAUGUACCACCCCCCAAAAAUGAAGUCCACAUCUCAUAUAGAUAUCUCCAGUACUAACUAAUUGUAACUCAUUAAUUACACAGGAAAUUAGAGUUUCUAUUUUAAAAGAAUGUUUUUUUCACCAUUCUGGUAUCAAAUAUUUAUUCUAGUCAUCUCUUCUUAUUUCUUGCUUUGUAAUAACCUAGGUACUCACUACCCAUUGACAGAACCAACUUAUUAUUCCAACAAGAAAUGAGAAAUACUGAGGAGAAUGCAAUGUGAUACUUCUGUCUUCAACCAGUUAUUCCAGUUUUAUGGAGGAUUCUGUAUUUAACUCUUACUCAGGACUCCAGAAACUGGGCCCAUAUAAGAACACACAAGGAGGCAUCGCACUACCUGACUUCAAAAUAUACUACAAAGAGAUGGUGACAAAAGAGUAAAUGAACAAUGUCAGAAUCAAAAGAUACUCUGCCUGGUAAGAACUUGCAAUGGAAUUUUUAAAAAAUGAGAUUAAAACAAAUAAAAAUAUGUUUAAAACUCAUUAAAUAUUUUUUAAGUACUUGCUGUUUUAAUGAAACUGAACAACAAAGACCCUGUCCUUAGUGAGCCUGCAAGCUAGUGGGGGACUCCAGUAAUAAUCAAACUAUCACAAAAAUAUGCCUUUAAAACACAUCACAUUCUCUGAGACGACCUCCUAGGUGUUGGGGUUCAGAAAAGGUUUCUCUGCUGAAUUGAUGUUUGGCAAUCAGGCCAAUGGGAAUGGGGCUUGGGGCGAGGAUGACGUCAGUUGUCCAGGUAGCACUCUUGAGUGGAAGGUGCAUGGAUGGUUGAGGGACUGAGAGAAUGUUACUGCAGUUAGAACUUAAAGGAUGAGGGUGGGGUUCUGGGCAUUGCAGGAUGGAGACAUAACACAUGAUGCAUCGGGAGAGAAAAGGAAGGAAGGGCUAUCUUGCACGAUUUUUUAAAGAUACACUGAGAACCUUGGCCAUUCCUUGAGAGCUCACACUGGAGAGCAUAAGAGCAGUUAGAAGACUGUCACAGUUACCCAGAGUAGAGACGAUGAUAGCUUGCGUAACGGUGGUGUUGGUGAAGAUGGAGAAAAACAGAUAAAAUGAGAGA